GAAGCUGACCAGACAGUCGCCGCUUCGUCGUCGUUCUUUCGGGGAGACGGGCGGAGGGGAGGAAAGUCCGGGCUCCAUAGGGCAGGGUGCCAGGUAACGCCUGGGGGGGAAACCCACGACCAGUGCAACAGAGAGCAAACCGCCGAUGGCCCACGUAAGUGGGAUCAGGUAAGGGUGAAAGGGUGCGGUAAGAGCGCACCGCGCGGCUGGUAACAGUCCGUGGCACGGUAAACUCCACCCGGAGCAAGGCCAAAUAGGGGUUCAUAAGGUACGGCCCGUACUGAACCCGGGUAGGCUGCUUGAGCCAGUGAGCGAUUGCUGGCCUAGAUGAAUGACUGUCCACGACAGAACCCGGCUUAUCGGUCAGUUUCAC
rnacentral:RNase_P_RNA from 1 species